GCCGGUAUAGCUCAGUUGGUAGAGCAGCGCAUUCGUAACGCGCAGGUCAUGGGUUCAAGUCCCUUUACCGGCUCCA
rnacentral:tRNA from 2 species